GCCCCUCUCCCACUUACCUUUCUCCAGUGCUGGGAACUCUCCUCCUCUUGCCGACGUCCGUGUCGAAUGGUCAUGCGCGGCAAGAGCUGAGCGCGCAUUCCAACCGCCCAUAGGAAAACAUUACUCAAUGCUUUCCUAUGGACGUUAGCGUCUUGUCACUGUGAUUUUCACAAUGAGAAUCGUGGAAGCUGCUUCUAGUGGCUGUCAGUGAGACAGCCACUAGAGGCUGGAUUAACCCUCAGUGUAAACAUAACAGUUUUCAGCUGCAGGGUUAAAACUAGAG